GUGACAAAAUAAAGGGCACUAAUGAUUAUGCACUUAAACAGACAAGAGUGACUUGUGGACAACUUCUGCUCUCCUUGUGUGAUGUCUCUUCUUAAAUAGGCAGCUUGAGAGCAGAAGUUGUCCACAAAUCCCUCCUGUCUGUUUUAAGUGCAUAAUCAUUAGUGCCCUUUAUUUUGUCAC